GACGAACGCUGGCGGCGUGCUUAACACAUGCAAGUCGAACGGAAAGGCCCUGCUUUUGUGGGGUGCUCGAGUGGCGAACGGGUGAGUAACACGUGAGUAACCUGCCCUUGACUUUGGGAUAACUUCAGGAAACUGGGGCUAAUACCGGAUAGGAGCUCCUGCUGCAUGGUGGGGGUUGGAAAGUUUCGGCGGUUGGGGAUGGACUCGCGGCUUAUCAGCUUGUUGGUGGGGUAGUGGCUUACCAAGGAUGUGACGGGUAGCCGGCCUGAGAGGGUGACCGGCCACAUUGGGACUGCGAUACGGCCCAGACUCCUACGGGAGGCAGCAGUGGGGAAUAUUGCACAAUGGGCCGAAGCCUGAUGCAGCAACGCCGCGUGCGGGAUGACGGCCUUCGGGUUGUAAACCGCUUUCGCCUGUGACGAAGCGUGAGUGACGGUAAUGGGUAAAGAAGCACCGGCUAACUACGUG
rnacentral:rRNA from 1 species